AGUAUAUUUCAAUUGUAUAUCAAUAAAGUUGAUGAAAAGUAAACAGAUUAGAAACUCAAUUUACCUCUUCAUUGACUUUAGGCUCUUUUGGUCCUCCUCUUCCUGGAGAAAAUACAUGAAUGCCUUUGACUUUUGGAAUGGGAGCAGAGUUUUGAACUACAAAGAAAAACCUAAGUUCGUAUCUUCAAAUUUUGCACCCUUUAUUCUGAUGAAAGAUAGAGGUAAUAUGAGGAGAGACCCCUUUCCAAAGUCCCCUGGACACAUGCUUAUUUCCAAUGAGGAUUCAACAAUUCACAAGCAACCAGGUGAAAAGCUGACCCCUUGGAGAAGAACUGGCCUGUUGGAGGACAGUGAGCUAAAGAGAGAGGUCCUGGGCAAGAGUGACUCUGUGAAGGAGCAAAGCCAAGAAGAUGAACUGCAGCCCCUCAGUUUUUUAUGGCAUUAGGGGAAGCUGUUGCUGCCUGUUUUGAAGAUGCCUCUCUUAUCUCAAUGGCAAGUUUUGGACACUUCCAUACUUAAGGCAUGAGAGACUUGAAGAGUCUCUUGGAUCAACAAGUCUGUUUUCCUUUCUCACCCUCCCAAGAGUUUAAGAUUUCUCCAGGAGAAAAUUCAAUUGCCUCCAACCUACUCAUUACCUGGUGACUUCACUCAGUGAAUUCAUUCCUUUGCUAGGCUGACUUACACAUUGACCCUGAUUUUUUUUUUCCUCAAGUGCCUUGUUUAGCCACAUUUUAUGACUCUGCUUUUGACUGAGGCAUACAGGUCAAACUAUUACUUUACAAAGGGAGGUUCACAAAGUGAAUAUUUCUUAAGUAAUUCUGGAAACUUGAGAGGAAAUGAUUAGGAGACACAAAGGCAUACAACCUAGUUUGUUGAGCUUCCAUAUUGAAAAAUAAUGGCUUUACAUAGAACAUAAGCACUCUCCAGAGAUGUUUCUACAAAACGCACUUAAAGUAGUCAAAGUAGUGCUGCUGAGAAAGGUUUCUGAUGCAGGGUUACAGAAAGAAAUUUCUAAACCCUAACCAAACUAAAAGGGGGUUUUCAGAAAUGUCCUCUUCUCUCAGAGAGAGGUUAGGUACAUACGAUAAGUACUGAGUCAACAUUUGUUUUUUGCUAACCACUCAGUAAAUUCUAGAGCAGAGAUCUUACACUAAGCUGUAGUCCUAACAAUGAAAGCGGGACCUGUUUAGCAGUUUAUGUUUCUAUUGUACAGGAGAAUGACUUCCUAGCUUAAGUGACUAUGCCUUUAUUAGAGGUUAUUAUGAUGUAAAGGGAUUUCAAAUUCUUACGGGUUAUAGGGGGGUAAUAAUUGACUCUUCUUACCUCGCUGUACUUCCCCAGGGAAUGCACAACAGACACCAUACAUGUCACUAAAUAAACCUAAGAUACGAGACCCUCUCCUCUCA
rnacentral:lncRNA from 1 species